rnacentral:rRNA from 1 species
UACGGGGGGAGCAAGCGUUGUUCGGAUUUACUGGGCGUAAAGGGCGCGUAGGCGGCGCAACAAGUCACUUGUGAAAUCUCCGGGCUUAACCCGGAGCGGUCAAGUGAUACUGUCGUGCUAGAGUGCGGAAGGGGCUACUGGAAUUCUCGGUGUAGCGGUGAAAUGCGUAGAUAUCGAGAGGAACACCUGCGGCGAAGGCGGGUAGCUGGGCCGACACUGACGCUGGAUGCGGCGAAAGCCCAGGGGAGCGAACGGG